AAACAACAAAAAAACAAAAAAAAGCACUUAGAGAUGGCUAAAUGCUAAUCCAAUAAGGGCUGUAGUUUAGUUAAUAGUAUUGCAUUCAUGUACAUUUCCUGGUUAGAUACAGGAGUGCUGGGAAGGGAAGGGUGUAGUUCUUUUAAAUGAUAGGGAAGGGAGAAGGGAAGUGCUGGGUAGAGGAGGGCGUGGUCUCUGGCUAGGGCUCCACCCCCACCGACCUAGGUGAGGACAGGAAUUUACUGCCCAAAUGUUGCAUUUUCCAAGACCACCCUGGCCUGCCAUGCCCCCAUCCUGUGCCUAUAAAAACCCGAGACCCUAGCAAGGCAGAAACAGCAGCAGCUGGAAGUCAAGAGGAGUGCUCUGUGGAGGAACACACCCACAGGCACCAGCAUGCCGGCAGGCCACUGACUGGCAAAACAACGCGGUGUUUGGCUGGGGCAGUCGGAGGAGCGCUCGGGCCGCCAAGCAGACCGACUCCAGGGAAAACCAUCUCCCUUCUGGCUCCCCCAUCUGCUAAGAGCCAUGUAAGAUAUGCCUGCUUCCCCUUUGCCUUCUGCCGUGAUUGAAAGCUUCCUGAGGCCUCCCCAGAAGGCAAGCAGAUGCCAACAUCAUGCUUCCUGUACAGCCUGUGGAACUGCCCUCCCCUCUGCUUCUCACUGGUCCUGAGUGUGUCCUGGAAUAACAUGUGGGCUGUGCUAUCCGGUGUUGUGUGUGUCACAGAUGCAAUUCAAAAUCCUAAGCCUGGAAGGUGAAGCCUACAGGUGUGGCAACGACCUUGCAGCCAUGACAUGGCUGUCUGAGGACACCAAAGAACACCAGAGAAGAAAGAAAGAGCUGGAGCGCCCCUGCCGCCAUGGCUGAGAACUUUGUGCAAUACAGCAGCUGCGCAUCUCCAGGCUUCUUGUAAGGUGGAAAAACCAACUUCAUUUAUCCAUGCUUACGCUGCUAGCUAUCAGGUUCUCCGUAACUUGCAGCAGAAAGCAAUUUUCACUGACUGAUACAAUGGGCAAUUACUUUUAAAAUUAGGAUGCUUAAGACUUACAAACACUAACUGGAAAUAAACAAGAAGACUUGAACUUGAAAUGAGAGUUGCCUUAUUGUUUGUGUCCUUACAUUAGUAAAAUAUCUAAAAGUAGACUCAGGAAACACAUUAAAAUACUAAUUAACUUACAAUUACUGUCUAGGAUUAUUAGAUUUUAUCAUCUUAUUGAUAAUUUUCUGAAUGCAAAAAAGCAUUAAUAAUGCUCAAAUGUAAAGUGUCACAUAUUUCCAAAUACUGCAAUAAAUACAGAUCCUUUGUUUUAACCACCAUUAACACCGUUUAAUCCCUUAAUGUGUACAGGUCAAAAUUUUAAUAUUUCUGAGUGCUCCAUGAAUAGAAAAAAAUUGAUAAUCCCUGGAAUACAUGACCCUGUGCAGACGGAGAUCUUGAGUUGAGAUCACACCAUUUCACUCCAGCCUGGGCAACAGAGUGAGACUCCAUCUAAAAAAAAAAUUAAUAAAAAAAAAAACCCACUUCACUCUUAAAGAUUUUCUGCAUCUUGACCAUAUCAAUGUCAAUUGACUGUAUCAAUGUCAAUAUCCUGGUUGUGAUAUUGUACUGUAGUUUUUUAAGAUGUUACCAUUAGGGGAAACUGGGUAAGCGAUGCAUGGCAUCUCUCUGUAUUAUUUCUUACAACUGCAUGUGAAUCUGCAAUUAUCUCAAAAUAAGAAGUUUAAUUAAAAACUUAAAAAACAAUGCUGCUGGAAAAGUAAAAUGGUGUAACCAUGUAGAACAUAGUUUGAUGGUUCCUCAAAAAGCUAGACAGAAUUACCAUAUGAUUCAGCAAUCCCACUCUUAGGUAUACACCCCCAAAAAAACUGAAAAGAGAAAUCUGAACAUACAUCUGUGUAGUGUGGGGAAAAGAAGCAAAUUUUUAAAAAAUAAAAAGAAGGAAUUUGAACAGACGCCUGUAGGACAAUGUUCACUGCAGCAUAAUCACAAUGGCCAAAAGGUGGAAACAACCCAAGUGUCCGUGGAUAGAUGAGUGGAGAAGCAAAUGUGGUAUAUACAUGAAAUGUUACUUAGUCAUAGAAAGGAAUAAAGUUCUGAUAUAUGCUAUAACAUGAAUGCACUUUAAAAACACUACGCUAAGGAAAAUAAACCAAAAGGACACCAAAGGACAAAUAUUAUGUGAUUCCACUUUUUCUUUCUUUCUUUUUUUUUUUUUUCGAGGCAAGGUCUUCCUCUGUUGCCCAGGCUGCAGUGCAGUGAGUCCAUCACAGCUCGCUGCAACCUCAAACUACUGGGCUCCAGUGAUCCUCCUGCCUCAGCCUCUCCAGGAGCUGGGACUACAAGUGUACACCACCACACCCCAUUUUUUUUUAAGAGACAGGGUCUCACUCUAUAGGCCAGGCUGGCUCUCUGCAUCCUUGACCUCCCAGCCUCAAGAGAUCUUUCCACCUCAGCCUCCCACGUAGCUGGGACCAUAGGCACAUGCCAUGACACCCAGAUAAUUUUUUAAAAAUUUUUUUGCAAAGAUGGGGGUCUCACUAUGUUGCCCAGGCUGGUCUCGAACUCCUGACCUCAAGCGAUCCUUCUGCCUCAGCCUCCCAAAGUGCUGGGAUUACAGGUAUGAACCACUGUGCCUGGCCCCCUCCUUUCUUUUUUUUUUUGGUAGAUGGGGGAUCUCACUAUGUUGCCCAGGCUGGACUUGAACUCCUGGUCUGAUGGUGAUUACAUAAUGGUUUGUUUUGUUUUGUUUUGUUUUGUUUUGUUUUGUUUGAGACAGGGUCGCAGUUUGUCACCCAGGCUAGAGUGCAGUGGCACGAUCCUGGACUCAAGUGAUCCUCCUGCCUCGGCCUCCUGAAUAGCCGGGAUUAUGGGUACAUGCCACCACACCUGGCUAAUUUUUGUAUAUUUUGUAGAGAUAGGGUUUCACCAUGUUGGCCAGGCUAGUCUCAAACUCCUGAGCUUAAGCAAUCCACCCUCUUCAGCCUCCCGAAAUACUGGGAUUACAGGCAUGAGCCACAGUACAUGGCCGGUGAUUGCAUAAUAUUGUGAAUGUGUUUGAUGUCACUGAAUUGUACACUUAAUUUCUAAAAUGCCAAGUUGUACUUGACGUAUAUUUUGCCACAAUUUACAAAUAUAGGAAUACAAAACGCUAUCAAACUGUAUACUUUAAAUGGGUGAACUAUAUUUCAAUAAAGCUGUUAAAAUUUUUUAAAAAUAUGUAUCCUUUCUCAGGUUAGUGGAAUUAACAACAUAAAAUAUUGAAACGUAACAGAGUGCUUGGUACACAGUAGGCACUCAGUAGUAACUUCUUGCCUUUCAUCUGCCUGUUGAAGGUCAUAGAGUCUGGCUUGAACUGCCUUCCUCAUGGAAGAGAGAAACACAUCCCCACAGUUGUAACUACUGUCAGUCAGAUGUAUUAAACAAAAUCCCUGAAGAAAUUAAGGUUCAGAGAGGUUAAAUAUUGUGCCCAGGGCACACAGCCCCAACACUGGGACUCUCUGGAAUAUGCCAGUGGGUCUGAUGGCUGCCUUUGUCCAACUUGAGAACAGAGGUUCCACCCUUGGCUGCAGUCAUAACUGCUCCCACCUCCACCGGCCUCGUCACCAGGCUGGUGCCCCUCGUGCCUGUGGGGGCCAAGCCCACUUCCCAGCUCAGGGCACAAAAAAUAGCAAAGAAGCUUCGGGGCCACUCUGGGACAGAAACUCCUUGAGAGGAGGGGAGCGGGGCUCCCCCUCUGCUGGCCUCUCCAAUCCACUGCAGGCACGUCACAGCGUCCACAGCCGGCACCUUACACAUCCGGGAUUGGAUACCCACUUGCUGACUUGAUAAGAUCAGGUUUCUGACAUUUUUCUUAAUGGAAGUAAAAUAAUUCCUUCUUCCCUCCACCUCCCUCCUUUCUUCUCAUCUUCCCUGCCUAAGCUGGACAAGAUCCCAGUCUUUCGGAAGUAAAAAUAGCCGAGUGUGCAGGGUCAGCCGCAGCGGGGCCACUUUAAGCUUCUUUCUUUUACACCCGGGCACUAAAAAUAGCCGGCUAAAGCUCUGCAAAGCGUGGCCCUGCACCUGGCCCUAAGCCUGUCCCAGGCGCUUCCCACAUCAUAUUUCUCUUCCAACAGGAAAGGUUCAGACAGGGCAGGCGAGGGAAAGGCCUCUGCCCUCCCAUCAGCUACUAUCCAGGUCUGAGGUCAAGAUCCCCACUGGCAUUGCAAGGUUUUCAUGACCAACACCCUUCUCUUCCCCUUAUCCAGAACUUUCCCCCAUCACCAAAUUCAACAUCC
rnacentral:lncRNA from 10 species